UACGGGGGGGGCAAGCGUUGUUCGGAAUUACUGGGCGUAAAGGGCUCGUAGGUGGCCAACUAAGUCAGACGUGAAAUCCCUCGGCUUAACCGGGGAACUGCGUCUGAUACUGGAUGGCUUGAGUUCGGGAGAGGGAUGCGGAAUUCCGGGUGUAGUGGUGGAAUGCGUAGAGAUCCGGAGGAACACCAGCGGCGAAGGCGGCAUCCUGGACUGGUCCUGACACUCAUGAGCGAAAGCGUGGGGAGCGAUCCGG
rnacentral:rRNA from 1 species